rnacentral:rRNA from 1 species
GAUCCUGGCUCAGGACGAACGCUGGCGGCGUGCUUAACACAUGCAAGUCGAACGAAGCUAUGCGACGGAAUCCUUCGGGAGGAAGAUGUAUAGACUUAGUGGCGGACGGGUGAGUAACGCGUGAGCAACCUGCCUACAAGAGGGGGACAACAGCUGGAAACGGCUGCUAAUACCGCAUAAGACCACACUUUCACAUGAAAGAGAGGUCAAAGAUUUAUCGCUUGUAGAUGGG